CUUAAGCCUCAGCCAAAGAAAAAUUAUGAAGAACCACAGUAUGAAGAAUUCCUUCCCACUCUCCAAAUCCUUGUUCACACCGAAUAAGGAGCACAAACUGUUAGGUUAACUAUUGCCUAAGAGAGCUGUUUUCUGAAAGUGCUAUAUAACACUGAAAUCUUCAGAAAAGACACAGCCCCCCCUCCCCGCCCCGCCCCCACUUGCCUCUGCAUUCGAAGCCAGACAGGGAUCCUGCUGACCCACUUAUUCCAGACUUCUGGUUCUAUCCUUUCCCACAGGUGUGCGUCUGGCCCCAGACACAACAAGGGAAGAAGAGGACCCCGGAGCUGAGCUCCACUCUGUCCUCCCUGCCAGGUAUGUAACAUCGCCUGGACACACCAAGAGAAGAAGUGGAAAGCGGAACCACACAUGCAUAAGGUGCAGAAAGUUUCUUGACUAGUUUAAGAAGGAGCCAAAUGGCACAGAAAGCGGGUGACCUCGGUAAGUCAUAAUGAGUUGUGAUAAUGAAGAGAGGCCAGGGAAGAAAUGAAAAUGCUUGCUAAGCAGGUACUUUACUACUGUUUUAAGUUUUGUUUCCUAUGCAUAGGAGUUUCCCCUGCUUGCGUGUCAAGGUACCACCACUUGUGUGCCUGGUAUGUCUAGAGUGACAGUCCGUUGGGAGCUGCCAUGUGAGUGCUGAGAAUUGAACCCCCCUCUCCCUCCCGGAAGAGCAACAAGUAAUAUUAUACUCUGAGCAUUUCUGUAGUCCUGAAUGCGCACAGAUAAUAGGUACAAGAAAAUAAGGAAAGAAUAUAAAGAAAAGUAUUGCCUUGGAUGACUAACAAGAAAGACUAGUACUUCAGACAGGCAAAAAAAAUGUGAAAAAAAAAACUCAUCAAGGUCACAAUGAAUCAAACUGGGAGGCUGUGAAACAGCAGAGAUUAGGAAUAAGGAUCCCCAGAGAAGCAGUUGCUGCGAGCAGAGCACAGGAAGCUGCUACUCCGUGCCUUGAGCGCCACCUUGCAGACACUAUAAAAAUGAAGCCUUAAAAUCCUCACCGGCGCCUGCUCUGCAUUGAAUAUUUGGCUGCUCUCAUCAUCAUCUGGCUCCGCCCAUCUCAUCUUUGCUAAUUUCCCGGUCCCAGGACAGGUUUCCUUAUAGUUCUGAUGAGGUAAAAUUGUAGCUGAAAACAAAUGCUUUCUUUACAAAUCAAGGUGACUUCGUAAGAGCUAAUGUGGGCGUGCACUUUUCUGGGAGGACGUUUCAUUUUUUUUUUAAAAUUACUAUUAUAAAAGGGUAAGAUGCUGAUGUGGGAAAUGCAUGAUCCAAGAGUAUUAACAAGGAACAUCAGACUGCAAAACUGGAAAUGAAGUCAAUGCUCAUGGGUAGCUGCUCCAUUACCAAUCCUGCAGCUAGACCGAGAGGUCACUUGUAAUUCACUGGACAGUCCAGCUCUGAAAGGGAAAUGUAGAUCAUCACACCAUUCAACAAGGUCCAUGCCAGCACAUCACACCUGGUCUAUGUGCUACUUCGUAUCCAUUUAUGGUUGAAAAGGAUGCUACCCGUCCUGCUCUAUUGCCAGCUCUUCACAGUCAAUGACUCUUUGGAGUGAAGCUUGUGGACCAGCACAAUUGACCCUCACCAAAAGUUGUCUGGACCCCAUCCAUUUAGUUUGUUUUGAACUCAAUUCCAGCCGAAUACAGAAGGAUUAGGAAGCAAGGUCAACGUGACAAGGUCUAGAAUUAUCUGAAGGAGUCUCAGUUGGAAGAUUACUUCAAUCAGAUCGACCUACAGGCAUGUUUGGGGGACUUUUUUUUAAAUUGCUAAUUAAGAGAGUACACUGCUGUGGGCAAUACGGCCCCUAACCGGGGGCCUGGGUUAUAUAAGAAAACUAGCUUAGCAGAAGGUAAGGAACAGACCAGUAAGCAGUUUGCCUCCCGGUUCCUGCCUCUGUUACUGCUUGAAUUCCUGCCCUGACUUGCUUCAGUGAUGGACCAUGGCCUGGAAGAUGAAAUAAAGACUUGC